rnacentral:tRNA from 1 species
GCAUAUUUAGUAUAAAAAUACAUUAGAUUUAGGUUCUAAAGAUAAAGUUAUGCU